rnacentral:rRNA from 1 species
GUUUCCGUAGGUGAACCUGCGGAAGGAUCAUUAUUGAAAUAAACCUGAUGAGUUGUUGCUGGUUCUCUAGGGAACAAUGUGCACACUUGUCGUUUUAUAUUUCCACCAUGUGCAUCUUUAGUAGAUUGUGGAUAUCUUUCCGAGUGCUACUUUUGUAGCAUGUCAGGUUUGAAGACUGACUUUUUGGGUCUGUCUUUACAUUUCCAGGUCUAUGUUUGUUUAAUAUACCCCAAUUCUUAUUCAAAGAAUGUAUCAAGUAGGCCUUUUGUGUCUAUAAAAAUUUUAUACAACUUUCAGCAACGGAUCUCUUGGCUCUUGCAUCGAUGAAGAACGCAGCGAAAUGCGAUAAGUAAUGUGAAUUGCAGAAUUCAGUGAAUCAUCGAAUCUUUGAACGCACCUUGCGCUCCUUGGUAUUCCGAGGAGCAUGCCUGUUUGAGUGUCAUUAAUAUAUAUAUCAACUUCUCUAGCUUUUGUGCUUAUGAGUGGGUUGGAUGUGGGGGGAUCUUAUUCUUGCUGGCCUUUAUUAAAAGGUCAGCUCCCCUGAAAUAUAUUAGCGGAACAAUCUGUUGACUUGUU